rnacentral:rRNA from 1 species
GACGAACGCUGGCGGCGUGCUUAAUACAUGCAAGUCGAGCGAGGCCUUGGAAUUGGAGUCCUUCGGGAUGAAGAGUCCUUGGCCUAGCGGCGGACGGGUGAGUAACGCGUGGGCAACCUACCCCAAAGUCCGGGAUAACAGUGGGAAACCGCUGCUAAUACCGGAUGGCUUUACCUGAGGGCAUCCUCGGGUAAAGAAAGGUUACGCUUUGGGAUGGGCCCGCGUCCCAUUAGCUAGUUGGUGAGGUAACGGCUCACCAAGGCGACGAUGGGUAGCCGGCCUGAGAGGGUGAACGGCCACACUGGGACUGAGACACGGCCCAGACUCCUACGGGAGGCAGCAGUAGGGAAUAUUGCGCAAUGGGCGAAAGCCUGACGCAGCAACGCCGCGUGAGGGGAUGACGGCCUUCGGGUUGUAAACCGUCUGUUGAGUGGGAAAAAAGGGUAGACAAUAACUUUGAAUGGUACCAUUCGAAGUAAGCACCGGCUAACUACGUGCCAGCAAGCCGCGGUAAUCAUACUCGUA